rnacentral:lncRNA from 1 species
GUUUCGGUCUGACCCAGCCCUGGUCAUUACAGCCAUUAUGAGAGUGAACCAGAGGAUAGAGGACCUCUCUCUCUCUCUCUGCCUCUCAAAUAAAUAAUUUUUAAAAAUCUUUUAAAGAAAAUAAAAUAUAAGAACUCUUUGAAAAUAUAUGCAGCUUUAACUCUAAACUUUUCAGAUUUAAUUUUUUUAAAAAAGGCUUGCAAAAUAAGAAACUAAGACAAAUUGCAUUCUCUAAAGAGCCCAUCCCACAGGCUCUUUGUACAGUGUGCCCUUGUCACUUCUGUCAUUGGUGAGUGGGGACUGUGUUCCCUCCUCUUAAUCCUAGGUAUGCAGCAUAGUUGUUUUGGCAUUAUACAGUUCUCAAGAUGAGGUCUAAAAAUACAACACAAUUAUGCCUCAUUCCCUUGUGGCACUUGCUGUGGAAAACCAAUUGGCCACGGAAGGGACAAUGUCAGCACUGCGCAGCUCCCAGUCUCCGAAUCACCCCAGCCGACACGGGCUGUAGCAUAGAAGAACUGACUCCAUGGAGCGAGGCUGCAACUGCAGGCUGUGACUGCAACACGCGAUUGUUAGAAUUGCGUAUCGCCAGGUUCCGAGUGGAUUUUUCCCCAACAGUGGAAAAAUGAGGCUCAAGAGAUGGAAAGAGAUACUGAUACACACAUACUCUGACAUACAUAGACGGAUAUAUACAUAGCCAUAAGGGUACUUCAAAAAGUUUGUGGAGGGGCUGGCGCCGUGGUGUAGCAGGUAAAGCCACCGCCUGCAGUGCCGGCAUCCCAUAUGGGCUCCAGUUUGAAUUCCAGUUGCUCUACUUCCGAUCCAGCUCUCUGCUAGUGUGCGUGGGCAAACAGCAGAAGAUGGCCCAGGUCCUUGAGCCCCCUCACCCAUGUGGAAGACCUGGAAGAAGCUCCUGGAUCCUGGCUUUGGCUUGGCCCAGCUGUGAUGGUUGCAGCCAUUUGGGGAGCGAACCAGCAAGAUGGAAGAUCUCUCUGUCUCUCCUUCUCUUUCUGUCUCUGUAACUGUUCCUUUCAAAUAAAUAAAAUAAAUCUUAAAAAAAAAGUUUGUAG